GCUUGAUUAGAAGGGAGUGAUAGUUGACAUCUUUCCCGAGAGGGAUGGAAACAAUCUUUGGACUUUACCUUUUCACAGAUUAUUUGUAUCAUAGACAAUAUAUCCACAUAAUAUGAUCGAAAUAUGUUUUU